rnacentral:rRNA from 1 species
GAUGAACGCUGGCGGCGUGCCUAAUACAUGCAAGUCGAGCGAACAGAUGAGGAGCUUGCUCCUCUGACGUUAGCGGCGGACGGGUGAGUAACACGUGAAUAACCUACCUAUAAGACUGGGAUAACUUCGGGAAACCGGAGCUAAUACCGGAUAAUAUAUUGAACCGCAUGGUUCAAUAGUGAAAGACGGUUUUGCUGUCACUUAUAGAUGGAUCCGCGCCGCAUUAGCUAGUUGGUAAGGUAACGGCUUACCAAGGCAACGAUGCGUAGCCGACCUGAGAGGGUGAUCGGCCACACUGGAACUGAGACACGGUCCAGACUCCUACGGGAGGCAGCAGUAGGGAAUCUUCCGCAAUGGGCGAAAGCCUGACGGAGCAACGCCGCGUGAGUGAUGAAGGUCUUCGGAUCGUAAAACUCUGUUAUUAGAGAAGAACAAAUGUGUAAGUAACUAUGCACGUCUUGACGGUACCUAAUCAGAAAGCCACGGCUAACUACGUG